rnacentral:rRNA from 1 species
UACGUAGGGAGCAAGCGUUGUCCGGAAUCAUUGGGCGUAAAGCGCGCGUAGGCGGCCCUGUAAGUCCGUUGUGAAAGUCAAAGGCUCAACCUUUGAAAGCCGAUGGAUACUGCAGGGCUAGAGUCCGGAAGAGGCGAGUGGAAUUCCUGGUGUAGCGGUGGAAUGCGCAGAUAUCAGGAGGAACACCAAUAGCGAAGGCAGCUCGCUGGGACGGUACUGACGCUAAGACGCGAAAGCGUGGGGAGCGAACAGG